rnacentral:rRNA from 1 species
AGCGAACGCUGGCGGCAGGCUUAACACAUGCAAGUCGAGCGGGCACUUUCGGGUGUCAGCGGCGGACGGGUGAGUAACGCGUGGGAACGUGCCCUCUGGUUCGGAAUAACUCAGGGAAACUUGAGCUAAUACCGGAUACGCCCUUUUGGGGAAAGGCUUGCUGCCGGAGGAUCGGCCCGCGUCUGAUUAGCUAGUUGGUGAGGUAACGGCUCACCAAGGCGACGAUCAGUAGCUGGUCUGAGAGGAUGAUCAGCCACACUGGGACUGAGACACGGCCCAGACUCGUACGGGAGGGAGCAGUGGGGAAUAUUGGACAAGGGGCGCAAGCCUGAUCCAGCCAUGCCGCGUGAGUGAUCAAGGCCUUAGGGUUGUAAAGCUCUUUUAUCCGGGACGAUAAUGACGGUACCGGAGGAAUAAGCCCCGGCUAACUUCGUG